rnacentral:rRNA from 1 species
ACGGAGGGUGCAAGCAUUAAUCGGAUUUAUUGGGCGUAAAGGGCGCGUAGGCGGGGAUGUAAGUCAGAUGUGAAAUCCUGGGGCUCAACCUCAGAACUGCAUUUGAAACUGUAUCUCUAGAGGGUAGGAGGAGAAAACGGAAUUCCACAAGUAGCGGUGAAAUGCGUAGAUAUGUGGAAGAACACCGGUGGCGAAGGCGGUUUUCUAUCUUAUUCCUGACGCUGAUGCGCGAAAGCAAGGGGAUCAAACAGG